CAUGUACUCCCUCCGUCCGGAAUUACUUGUCGCAUAAAUGGAUGUAUCUAGAAUUAAAAUACAUCUAGAUACAUUAUUUCUCUGACAAGUAUUUUCGGACGGAGGGAGUAUCAU
rfam:Triticum aestivum genome assembly, contig: Triticum_aestivum_CS42_TGACv1_scaffold_435448_5DL